GCCCAGGUGGCGGAAUUNNNNCGCUAGCUUCAGGUGCUAGUGUCCGAAAGGACGUGGAAGUUCGAGUUUUCUCCUGGGCACCA
rnacentral:tRNA from 1 species